rnacentral:sRNA from 2 species
CAAUAAUAAUUAAUUACAAAAUCCGGACCCUGAUUUUCCUAUUAGGAAUAGGUGCCCGUACAGUAAUAACCACUAAAAACAGAGAAACACAAGCAAAAUCCAUCAAUCCGCUGUAUUACCAUUACCAUCAACUAUCAUCAAAAACAUGCUUUGCCCCAACUAGGAGCUCCAUCCUCAACUAGAGAAUAUCAACAGUGACUACCUGGUCGUAGGCGACAUACUGCUCCAACUAGGAGCAAUUCUCAACUAGAGAAUAUCAACAGUGACUACCUCAACUAGAGGUUGUAGACGGCAUACUGCUCCAACUAGGAGCGAUUCUCAACUAGAGAAUAUCCACAGUGACUACCUCAACUAGAGGUAUUAGAAGACCUGUUCUUCUAUAACAUUUGCUGACUCCAUGGUGGAGGCUUUUUGUAGAUUCUCCGGCUUCUUUUCUGGAUAUUUGUCCCAACAGUGGAUCUCAUCAUGACCCUUUCAAUUGCAGUAGUUGCACUCCUUGAUGCUCUUAUCCUUGAUGUUCUUGGUGAUAUCUUUAUCCUUCUUGUUGGCAUUCUUGUCAUCUAAUGGCAGGCGGAGUAGUAUAUCUUUUCAAAGGUCAAGGAAGUUGUCUUCAAGUGGUCUUCGCGUGAUUAUCAGUGUUGGAAAGGAUCCAGGGGUUAUCUGGUUCUCUGGUGUUUCUUUGCGGUU